UUUGGGUGUGGAAAGCUUCAAGAGGUAGAGAAGAUUGUCUACUAAGAAGACUGAUUUAGGUGAAUCUUUUCCUUCCUCUUAUCCUUUCUCUUCUUCUUCCCUCUUUGUUGUUGUUGGUUGUAGUGAGUGAGGUUGAGGCUUAGUUAAUGGUCUUUUAGCAAUCAUUAGACUUAGUGUCUGUUUGGAUAUAUUUCUUGUUUUUUGCUUUUGAAAUUAUAAACUUCUACAUAACAAUAAAACAUCUUGUACCAGAAAGAAAAAAUGGUUUUCCUUAUAUCUUUAAAAAUCACUUUAGAAAUUUAAAAUUUGGUAAAGUAAAAUUCUUUUGAUACCUCCAUUUUUAUUAAACAAUAUUUAAAAUUAUUACUUUUUCAAUAUAAGUCUGAUGUAGAACAACCCUUGGGUGGUUGCCUUCACUCAAAUAGGUGGGCUAGGGUUUCUAUUUUUUUAGGGUUUAAGGAGAGAAAUAAGGGAUAAAGUUUAUGGUAUAGAAAAUUAAAAUUAAAAUAAAUAAAUAAAUAAAGAAGAUAUGACGAAGAGAGAGAAACCUUAGAGUCUUACUAAGGUUUUAUAGGAGUUUAUUCAGUGUUUGCUUUCACAACACAUUGUAAGGACAUUGAUACACUUGGCAUUCAACUCAUCACCUUGCUUUCAUAGCACAUUAUUAGGAUAUUGAUACUCUUGGCAUUCAACUCAUCACCUUCAUCAAGAAGUUAGCAAGGGAGCACAUCAACAAACAUGAUCUUGUCGACCUAUUGCCUUCAUGGAAGGAGUUAGGAAAAGUGCAAAUUAAUUCACCUAUAGGUGCUUGAAAUUGCUUGUAAGAUGCUAUAUAAACAUACCCUAGAGCACAUAUCAUAGGACUACAUACAAUUUUUAUAUACAUCUCUUGUUAAACUUUGACCACAUGAAUGAAUUCAAAAUUUUGUCUUAGAUCUUUCAUGUAAUCAAAGCUUUGCUAAUCCCUUACGGGUUUAUUUGAUCCUUCUGACCUCUUUAUCCUCUGUUAUAGCUCAGUCUGCAAUCCCCUCCACAUUUACCAUUGAAAUUGAAUCAAAGAAGUCACAUGCUUGGCAAGCAUAACUCCUUCCUUUGCCUCUUGGCUACGACUUUCUUGGGUAUGUUGACAGUUUGCAUCCCCCAUCUAAGUUUCACAUGACCACCAAAUAUCCAACAGUUGUUUCAAAUACUGAGUUUCCCAUCUGGGAAUGACAGUCCAUCUUUUUCUCAGUUGAUUCCUCUCCAAGGAUGUUCUUUGCCAUGCAGUUAGUACUUCCACUUGUCUUUCCCAAGCACUGGCAGCUUCUUUGGUACCAGGGUCCUUCAUCUAAAGCAUCACCUUUUUAUCAACUCAAAAAAGGGGCACAAACUGUAGCUGAUUAUUUACAAUCUGUCUGCUUUAUUGCUGAUUCUCUAGCAGCUGCUAAAAGGUUAUCAAUGAUAGGGAUUUGGAGCCUAUAGUCCUUCACAGCCUUGGAACUGUUGUCAGGAUUUUGUUACCUCUAUUUGCAUUCGAUUUUUACUGGUUUCCUUGCUGAUUUAUGUUUCCUCUCCUUAGCCUAGAAGCACAGCUUGCCGACAUUUUGGAACAACCUCAGUUUCAAAUUGAAAUAGCUAAGCCCACUUCCAUCAAGUCCUUGUCUCACUAAUGCACCUAUUGCUAACAAAGCAAAAAACCACCAUCAUCAGUUCAAUGCUUCAUGGUGAUUCACUUUCCUUCUCUAAUCAAUCUCACCCUUCCUACAAGAUUCAAUUGCAAGAUAGGCCUACAAGCCUUCAUUGUUCCGAACCACAUAAUUCUGCAUGCCUAAGUGAUUGUUCUUCAACUCCUUUUAUUGUUUAUGGCUUCUAGACUAUGGUUCUAACAUAUACUAGAAGAGCUGUAACUCCCUUUGAAUUUGAAUGCUUGAUGAACAAUAUAUGAUCGCCCAGACUUUGUCUAUAUCCCAUGUUCUUUAUCACUUAGGCAAACCUUCCAAACCAUGUCCUUGGAGACUUCUUCAGCCUAUAUAGAGCAUGGUUCAAAAUCGCGGUAUCGGUCAUUGACUCGGAGGGUUCUGAGGCACAUCGGUAUCGGCGUCUCGGUUCGGUAUUGGGUGAUACACAAAAUAAGAUACUUAACAAGUUCAAAAAAUUAUAAAAAUUAUUUUUAAUAUAAUUAAAUGAAUUAAGAAACUAAUAAACUUAAUAAUAAACUAUUAACAUAAUAAUAAAUGAAAUAAUUUCUUAAACUAUUAACAAUAAAUUAACAUAUAAAAUAAUACACCUUAUAUAAUACCAUUACCAUGUAAAAUAAUAUAUUACCUAAAUUAAAGUCAUUCAUACCAUAUUUAAUAUAUAAAAUACUAAUUUUCAAAUUUCCAAUUCCAAAUGUCAUUGGCAUACAAGGUAAAAUGAUGCAAAUACAUGAACAUUUGAAAUAAUAAAUCAUUUUUAUAUAAAACACCAUUUUCUUUAAUUCUCAAUCCCAAACAUCACUUAUUCACACCACGAGGUACCCGGUUUGCAGAGGCAAAAGCCUCUUUGUAGUACACAGCCAAACAACACUAUGGAGAUCGAACAAGGGGAGGCAACACCAACAUGCAAAGAUCAUCAUCAAUGAAAGAAUGUGAUGUUUCUCACUGAUCGGUCACCACAACUACAUCACGGACACAAAGCUUUCUUUCUUCUUCUUCUUAUCCUUCAUGGUUAUGGGUCUUGAAAAAAAAAAUAUUUUUAAGAGAAUCUCUCAUAUUUAUUAGAGAUUUCUCAGUUUUGGUUGCCUUUUGUUGUGAUUUGAAAGGGAAAAAAAAUUUGGUUUAAUAUAAGAAUAUUUAGAUUUUAAACAAUUGAACUUGUGAUUUCGACCGAGUCCACUCAGAAUCUCAACCGAGGUGACCAAGUUUAACGGGUUCUUAGUUGGGUCUAUGUUGAAGAUGGUACCGGGUAUCGGACUCGGCACGAAAAGGUUCGAGGUGGAUACAACUCGACCGAGUCGUACUGGACUCGGCCGAUAUUUUAAACCAUGGUAUAGAGCUUUUCUCAGUUUACGCAUGUUGUUAGUGGAUAGGUUACUUCCAAACUCAGGAGAGACUUCCAUAUAAAUCUCUUCUUCUAGGUCUCCAUGUAGAAACACAUUGUCAACAUCGAACUGCAACAAAUCCCAAUUAUAAUUAGCUACCAAUGAUAACAGAAUUCUAAUUGUGUUCAUCUUGACAACUGGGGCAAAUGUCUCUAGAUAAUCCACGACAUAUGUCUAAGUAUACCCUUUAACCAUCAAUCUUGCCUUGUACCUCUCUAAUGACCCAUGUGCUCUAUACUUAAUAGUGCAAAUAACUUCCAUCCCACCGGCUUUUUUCUUGCAAGUAAAUCCACCAACUCCCAAGUUUUAUUCUUUUCCAAGGCCUUUAUUUCUACAUUCAUUGCUUGUUUCCAAUUUUCAUUAGACAAAGCCUCGAAUAAAGUGGUAAGAAUGUAAAUAUUUUUCAAACUCAUAAGAAAACUCUUAUGGGACAAUGAAAACUUUUCAAAUGAUACAACAUAAGAGAGUGGAUACAAAGGACAUUUAGUGCAUUCCUUAGUUUCCUUCCUAAUGGCAAGAGAGAGGUUCUGAUCUAUGUUUUUUUAAGAUUGAAGUUCUAACUCAAUUUGUAAAGGAGGAUUAAAAACCAAUGCCUCCUUUCUAGAAUCUGAUUGAGAUCCUUAGACUUGUAUAAUUCUAGGGACUACAACUUUCUUCCUUGAGAACACUUAGUCAUUUGAUCCUCAGAAGCAAUCAUGGGCUCACUAGUUUUUUCAAUAGUGUGUUUAGGGAAUACAAAUGACUUAGGUUUAGAAGAGGAGGGUAUGGAUACUGGUGUAGACACUUUAGGAAGGUCAAUAAGAAAGGAAUCUUGAUCCUUAUAUUCCUUGAUGAAAUUCUCCCCUUGAAGAUAAGGUGCAAUGAAAUUUUUGCUAAAAGUAACAUCUGCUAAGACAAAAAAAAAUUUGGACAGAGGAUGGUAACACUUAUAUCCCUUUUAAGUUGACGAAUAUUCCACAAAAAUAUAUUUAAUUGCCAUUGGAUUCAACUUUCCUUUGUUUUGACUAUGAACAUGAGUAAAGGACACACACCUAAAUAUCUUAGGAAUAAGAUAACUUGUGGUUCUUAGAUUAGGAUAAAACUUUAAGAGCAUUUCCAUAGGACUUUUGAAAUAUAAGACUCUGGAAGGUAAUUGGUUUCUAAGAUGUGUGGCGGUUAAGACGACUUCCCCCUCAUAAGAUUUAGGCACAUUUUUUUUAAACAAGAAUGCUCGGGUUGUAUCAAGUAGGUGGUCAUUUUUCCUCUCAGCAACUCCAUUUUGUUGUGGGGUGUUUACACAUGGUAACCCAUGAAUUAUCCCUUCUUGUUGAAAAUAUGGAGUUAGGACUUGAUUGAAAUAAUCCCUAGCAUUGUCAAAAUGGAAACUCUUGAUUUUGACACCAAACUAGUUUUUUACCAUGUUAUGGAAAUUUGGGAGAACUAAACUCACAUCAAAUUUAUGCUUAAGUAAGAAGAUCCAAGAGACCCUAGUACAAUCAUCGAUAAAAGACACGAACCAACAUGUUUUAGAUAUAUUAGGAACAAUAGAAGGACCGCAAAUAUCAAUAUGAAUUAGAUGAAAAAGAUAUGAAUUUCUUUUAUUGUUGGUUAGAAAGGUUAUACACUUGUGUUUGGGUAGUUCACAUACAUCACAAUAAAAGCUCACAACAUCUAAUCUCCUAAAUAGAUAAGGAACAAGAUCUUAAGAGUUCUAAAUGACGAAUGUCUAAGUUUAUGAUGAUGAAGCCAUAUUUUUUCUUUAUUGGAAAGAUGGUGCUCAAAUAGAAAUGAUAAGGAUAAUUAGCUUGGUAUCUCAAGGUAGUAUAGCUCGUCCUAUUCCUUAGCAAGUCCAAUCGUCUUCCUCAAAUCCUAGUCCUAAAAUACGUAGUGAGUAGGUAAAAAAUCACAUUGAAACACAAAUCUUGUGUAAGCUUUUGUAUAGACAAGAUUAGUGGACAACUUUGGAACAUGAAACACACUUCUAAGUGUGAGCAUAGGACUAAUUUGAACAUCUCCUAUGCCUGCAAUGGUGGUUAAUGAACUAUCAAUUGUGGCUUUUUUUCUACCACAUGGAUAGGGAUUAUAUUUGUUAAAUUUGUGUAAUGAAUGAGUCAUGUGAUUUGUGGCACCUAAAUCUAUAAUCCAAGAAUUCGUAAAGGUUUCAUCCAAAACUUUUAAUUCAAUGGAAAUAGGAAACUUACUUAAAUGUGCCAAAGAGCAGGUACCUAAAGGUUUCUCAAGAGUUCCUAGCAAAGUUAUCAGUUUUUCAAUCUCAUCUUGGUUGAAUCCACCUUGUUCCAGGGAUCUCUCUUCAACUGGUUGUACAGAGGACAAGUGUGCUUGCUCAUUAUCCCUCUAAUGCCCUCCUUUGUAGCCUCACUUUCUGCUAAAUGUAGAUGGUUGUCCAUAGAGUUUCCAACACUACUCCCGUGUAUAUCUUGCCUUCUGGUAGUAAGUACACCAUAAGUUGUCCCUGUUAUCACUAUUUGAGUCCCUUGACUAAUCAACCCUCUUAUGGUCAAGAUUGCUUGUCUUUUAAUCAUUUUCCUUGUUAGCUACCAUAAUGAGCCUUCAAAAAUUUGAGGUUCAAGCGUGACACCUCUCAUACUUUCUUUUACUCGGAUAAUAGAGAUAGUAUCAUUCAAAGUCGGGAGCUUUUUGCUAAGUAUUUGAAUUUUAACUUAGUCAAACUCAAGAUUAAGACCAACUGAAAAAAAAAAAAAAAAAUCACAAACUCAAUCCUUCUCAAUAUAAUUCUUUUAAGAUUAUUACAUCCUCAGGACAUUUUGUUUCAAAUGCAUCAAUAAUGAUCGAGUUCUUGCUAAAGAUUUUUCAACAUAUUGGUGGACUUCGUGAUUGUCUUGUUUCCUUGUUUUAUUGCUCCGAUCUUGACUUUUAUUUUGUAUGCUAGGGUUACAUCAAGUGCCUUCAAAUAUGUCUAGUGAAUAGCAUCCCUCAUGUCUUUAGCGAUGGUCAAGAACAUACACAUAUCAUUGAUUUCAAGUCUUAUCGAGUUCCACGACCAUGCCAUAAUCAUUAAGUCUUGCUCGUCCUAGGAAUAAAACCGAGGGUCUUCUCUCUUCGGUCUAAUUCCAAAGAGAUGACUUAAUUUUCUUUUUCCUUUCAAAAAGGCACGAAUAAGUUAUGACCAUUUUAAAUGAUUCUUCUCAUUAAGUCUUGAAUGUCGCUUGAACAUUGUACAUUUCUCCCGCGGUGUGACUUAUCAAUUCCUCAGAUUGAGCAAUGAUAGUAGCAGGGGUUUCUAAUACCUUUGACAUUUUUUUAAAAGAACUAUGUUUAAAUCUUAAGAAAACACAAAGAAGUCUGAGUGAGGAAGGGGACAGUUCCGGCAUUAAAGGUACAGGAGAUGCAGGGAAAGAAAAGGGUCUAACUGAGGGAUUUAAGGUGGUGGCGCCACUGGAGGUCUUAACUAAGGGAAAUAAGAAGGUUUGACUAAGGGAUCUGAGGUGGCAGCAUCAAAGGACCUAAGUUCACGAUCUAUUAUUGCAAGGAUGGUGCGAGGAGGAAGGUAGUCACGAGGAAUACGUUCGCGAUGAGUUCACGACCUAUGGUUUACAAUGACAGCAUGAAGACAAUGGCGUGAGGCGGAGAUGAAGGUGGCAAUGGAGGUCAAAUGAAAAGGCCGGAAGAAACUCUUAAAGG
rnacentral:lncRNA from 1 species